GACGUAGGGAGCAAGCGUUGUCCGGAUUCAUUGGGCGUAAAGGGUCCGUAGGCGGCUCAGCAAGUCAGGUGUGAAAUCUCCAGGCUCAACCUGGAGGGGCCACCUGAUACUGCUGUGGCUUGAGUCCAGUAGGGGAGCAUGGAAUUCCCGGUGUAGCGGUGAGAUGCGCAGAUAUCGGGAGGAACACCAGUGGCGAAGGCGGUGCUCUGGGCUGGAACUGACGCUGAUGGACGAAAGCGUGGGUAGCAAACAGG
rnacentral:rRNA from 1 species